GCCUGGGUAGUUCAGUGGUAGAACGCCUCCAUGGUAAGGAGGAGGUCGAGGGUCCAAUUCCCUCCCCAGGCUCCA
rnacentral:tRNA from 1 species